CCUACGGGAGGCAGCAGUGAGGAAUAUUGGUCAAUGGACGAGAGUCUGAACCAGCAAAGUAGCGUGAAGGAUGACUGCCCUAUGGGUUGUAAACUUCUUUUAUAUGGGAAUAAAAUGUUCCACGUGUGGGAUUUUGUAUGUACCAUAUGAAUACGGAUCGGCUAACUCCGUGCCAGCAGCCGCGGUAAUACGGAGGAUCCGAGCGUUAUCCGGAUUUAUUGGGUUUAAAGGGAGCGUAGGUGGAUUUUUAAGUCAGUUGUGAAAGUUUGCGGCUCAACCGUAAAAUUGCAGUUGAAACUGGCAGUCUUGAGUACAGUAGAGGUGGGCGGAAUUCGUGGUGUAGCGGUGAAAUGCUUAGAUAUCACGAAGAACUCCGAUUGCGAAGGCAGCUCACUGGACUGCAACUGACACUGAGGCUCGAAAGUGUGGGUAGCAAACAGGAUUAGAUACCCGAGUAGUC
rnacentral:rRNA from 1 species